rnacentral:tRNA from 1 species
UGUUCUGUGGCUUAGUUGGUUUAAACGCCGGUCUAGCGAAUACGGAGUCGUGGGUUCGAAUCCCACCAGAACGC